AAAAUUUUAGAAAGAAACCCACAACGUAGAUAAAGGCAAAUAGAUAAAUGCUAGAGGAAAAAAUCUACUAGUAGCACCUGCCUUGCUUCCAAGUUCGCAACCCAGGGCCUUACUUUGGCUGCACCCACACCGUUCCACCCUUCUCCGGCCACCGGAAACCGACAACGCUCGUCUCCUUCGAAAGCUCUGAAAUAUUUCAUAUCCUGAGAACUGUGAGAUUAUGAAGAUCAGAAGCUGUGUUGGCAUUACAAAACCAAGUCUUCUGCUUGUACAUUCUGAGUUACCCGCACUUACCUUCCAUAAAACCAAGUUAACAUGGACAUCAACCCUUAGAUUCCCAAGUAACUAUGAGAGGACUUCUGGAUCGGUUACUAGGUUUCAUUGCAGUGUUGCUGGUAGAACCGGUGCUUCUACAUCUGUUAGUUCAUCUUCAUCGAAGUCAAAUACUGUUCAUUUGAGCCGGAAACAAGUCAAACCCUCAUCCUUGUAUAGUCGUCCUAGUUUGUCGAACAUGAAGAAAGAGAGGAUAGCAAAUCGCGCUAAGGUUUAUGAGUUUUUGAGGGUACUUGGUAUUAUUCCUGAUGAGCUAGAUGGGUUAGAACUUCCUGUAACGGUUGAGGUUAUGCAGGAACGGAUCGAUUUUCUUCAUAAGUUGGGGCUUACUAUUGAAGACAUUAACAAUUAUCCACUGGUCCUCGGUUGUAGUGUGAAAAAGAACAUGAUUCCCGUGCUUGAUUAUUUGGGGAAAUUGGGUGUUAGAAAAUCCACUUUCACUGAGUUUUUGAGAAGAUAUCCACAAGUUCUCCAUGCAAGUGUUGUGGUUGACCUUGCCCCAGUUGUAAAGUAUCUUCAAGGGUUGGAUAUUAAGCCUAAUGAUAUUCCUCGGGUCCUUGAGAAAUAUCCAGAAGUACUGGGAUUCAAGCUUGAGGGGACAAUGAGCACAUCAGUGGCUUAUCUAGUCGGCAUUGGAGUGUCAAGAAGGGAAGUUGGAGGGGUCUUAACCAAAUACCCUGAGAUUCUUGGGAUGCGAGUGGGCCGCGUGAUAAAGCCAUUUGUGGAGUAUCUUGAAGGUUUGGGUAUUCCUAGGUUAGCUAUAGCUAGAUUGAUAGAGAAGCGACCUCAUAUCCUUGGGUUUGGAUUGGAGGAGAGGGUCAAACCAAAUGUUGCAUCCCUUCUAGAGUUCAAUGUCAGAAAAGCAUCUCUUCCAUCUAUAGUAGCACAAUAUCCUGAAAUUAUAGGAAUUGAUCUAAAGCCGAAGCUUCUUGGUCAAAGGAGUUUGAUUCAAUCAAUUAUUGAUUUGGAACCUGAGGAUUUUGGGACCGUUGUGGAGAAAAUGCCUCAGAUUGUGAGCCUUAGCAACACUUCUAUGGUGAAACAUGGAGAUUUCCUAAAGGGUUGUGGAUUUUCCUUGCAACAAGUGAGGUCCAUGGUUGUGGAAUGUCCCCAGAUCCUUGCUUUGAAUCUUGACAUCAUGAAACUUAGCUUUGAUUACUUUCAAAUGGAGAUGCAGAGGCCUCUUGAUGAUUUGGUUGCUUUCCCAGCAUUCUUUACAUAUGGUCUUGAAUCUACUAUAAAGCCUAGAGACAAGAUUGUAGCGAAGAAAGGUUUUAAAUGUUCUCUUUCAUGGCUUCUUAACUGCUCUGAUGAGAAGUUUAAGGAGCGGUUGAACUAUGACACAAUUGAGAUGGAGGAAAUGGAGACAAUGCCUUCAUUUGACAUGAAUUCACUGAUGGAACCGAGGAGUGAUGAGUCUGAUUCUGACUAUGAGGAGGAUAGUGACGAUGAGUAUGCAUAAAUCUAUUAGAAAAUGCUUGGCUUUUUUCAAAUCAGACGAUCCAAAUUUAGGAAGCCAUACCCUUACUGGAGACUGAUGUUCCGUCUGCUGUAAUGCAUCGCUCAUCCGGGCAUCAGAGUUUUGCAUCUGAUUUUUUAGUAGAUCUAGAUACCUAUAAAGUAGAGGCUAUAAGUAGGCACCAUAGUUUCAAUGCAUGAUGUUUCAAUUCUCCAAUAUGUUCCCAAUUAUUUUCAUUUUAAGUUGUGAUUUUUACCGCAGAAGGAAAUCAAGGUUUUUGUAUUUUAGAGGUCAACUUCAGCAGUCAAAUACGAAACAUCUUGCAACUUGUAGCUACUGGCUUAAAUUAUAUUAAAACCAUUUUUAGCAGAAAUAAUGUUCAUUUCAUCCU